AACCUCCGCAAUGUGAGAAAUCGCGACGGGGGGAUCCCAAGUGCCAUUCUUAACGGGAUGGCUUUUCAUUAGUGUAAAGAGCUUUUGGAAUAAGAGCUGGGCAAGACCGGUGCCAGCCGCCGCGGUAACACCGGCAGCUCUAGUGGUAGCAAUUUUUAUUGGGCCUAAAGCGUCCGUAGCCGGUUUAAUAAGUCUCUGGUGAAAUCCUGUAGCUUAACUGUGGGAAUUGCUGGAGAUACUAUUAGACUUGAGACCGGGAGAGGUUAGAGGUACUCCCAGGGUAGAGGUGAAAUUCUGUAAUCCUGGGAGGACCGCCUGUUGCGAAGGCGUCUAACUGGAACGGUUCUGACGGUGAGGGACGAAAGUUAGGGGCGCGAACCGGAUUAGAUACCCGGGUAGUCCUAACUGUAACGAUGCGGACUUGGUGUUGGGGUGGCUUUGAGCUGCUUCAGUGCCGAAGGGAAGCUGUUAAGUCCGCCGCCUGGGAAGUACGGUCGCAAGACUGAAACUUAAAGGAAUU
rnacentral:rRNA from 1 species